rnacentral:lncRNA from 1 species
AUGGAACAAGACCAGAUGCUGCAGGAGUGGGAAUGGAUAGUCAAACAUAUCCGGGCACGGGGAGGAAGAUGCUGUACAGGAUGUCCCUCCCCAGGGAAUAUAGUCAGCACCAUUCUGAUUUUCCUUCUGGAACCGCAUCGCCUGCUGGGUAAUCAGUUUGUGCGCGCUGCAAGGGAAGACCUCAGCAAAAGGAGUCCAGUGCAGCUAAGGUGCCAGGGCCAUGAAACAGCAGAACACCACUGCGCUCAGUGUCACAUUUUCAGUGAUCAUCUCUGUUUUGUUAUGCAGUGUGACCGGCUGCCUAAUGUUCCUACUGCCAUGCCUCCCUUGCCAUGGUGGAUUAUACUGGAAAACACAAAGAUAGUAACUCAGUGA